UAUCAGAAGAUUUUAGAAUUAUGGUAUGCUUAUGGGCUAGCAGUUUUAUGAUUUAUGAAUUCAAAUUUGAGAUUUUUUCUCAUCAAUUGGAGGCUGCUAAGGUUCAUGUAACAUAGUGGCAAUAGCAUAAAGCAAGAAGCUACUUCAUUUUCUAUUAAGCUGUAACUUUUACCUACUGCCUUGUUGGCUUUGUUAUAUUUUCUCCGUUUCAGUGCCUUCUAUUUAUUUAAGAUAAUAUGUUCAUAGUUUGUUUUUUUUGUUCAUUCUGUUUAUAUUUGGCCUUCACUUAA
rnacentral:misc_RNA from 1 species